GAUGAACGCUGGCGGCGUGCCUAACACAUGCAAGUCGAACGGAGUCCAGCCUUUAAGACCUUCGGGUCAAAGAGGGGAAGACUGAGUGGCGGACGGGUGAGUAACACGUGGGCAACCCGGCUCAUAGAGGGGGAUAACAGAGAGAAAUUUCUGCUAAUACCGCAUAAGCACACACUGCCGCAUGGCAGAGGGUGAAAAGAGAAUCGCUAUGAGAUGGACCCGCGUCUGAUUAGCCAGUUGGCAGGGUAAGGGCCUACCAAAGCGGCGAUCAGUAGCCGAUCUGAGAGGAUGAACGGCCACAUUGGGACUGAGACACGGCCCAAACUCCUACGGGAGGCAGCAGUGGGGGAUAUUGCACAAUGGGGGGAACCCUGAUGCAGCGACGCCGCGUGAGUGAAGAAGUAUUUCGGUAUGUAAAGCUCUAUCAGCAGGGAAGAUAAUGACAGUACCUGAAUAAGAAGCCCCGGCUAACUACGUG
rnacentral:rRNA from 1 species